rnacentral:rRNA from 1 species
AGAGUUUGAUCCUGGCUCAGGACGAACGCUGGCGGCAGGCCUAACACAUGCAAGUCGAACGCUCUCUUCGGAGGGAGUGGCGCACGGGUGAGUAACACGUGGGAACCUACCCUGAGGUACGGAAUAACCGUUGGAAACGACGGCUAAUACCGUAUGUCCCCCGCGGGGGAAAGAUUUAUCGCCUUGGGAUGGGCCCGCGGUCGAUUAGCUAGUUGGUGUGGUAAAGGCGCACCAAGGCGACGAUCGAUAGCUGGUCUGAGAGGAUGAUCAGCCACACUGGGACUGAGACACGGCCCAGACUCCUACGGGAGGCAGCAGUGGGGAAUAUUGGACAAUGGGGGCAACCCUGAUCCAGCCAUGCCGCGUGAGUGAUGAAGGCCUUCGGGUUGUAAAGCUCUUUCAGGUGGGACGAUGAUGACGGUACCACCAGAAGAAGCCCCGGCUAACUUCGUGCCAGCAGCCGCGGUAAUACGAAGGGGGCUAGCGUUGUUCGGAAUCACUGGGCGUAAAGCGCGCGUAGGCGGUCAUGCCAGUCAGGGGUGAAAGCCCAGGGCUCAACCCUGGAACGGCCUUUGAUACUGCAUGACUUGAGUUCGGGAGAGGGGCAUGGAAUUCCCAGUGUAGAGGUGAAAUUCGUAGAUAUUGGGAAGAACACCAGUGGCGA